CUUGUCAUAGAAACCAGAAAUGCUAUCUUUUUCCAUUUGAAUGAUGAGGUAAUCAUGACAAUUAGAUUUUUAAAACAUUUCAUCGCUUGACUGUUUGUAGGCAAAAGAAAUGAAAACUGGUGGGAGCCUCUGCUAAUGACUACGCAAUGCGGAGUAAUCCACUGGAGUGAGGCUGAUGCGGCUGUAAGCCUACCAUUGUCUAGGUUAAUACUUUGAUGGCCUAAUUAAAGGUUUUCUUUUUCUUCUGGAAUUCCUGUUUGCGGAUGGACGAUCUGCUGAGAGAUUAGUCGUCAAACUAUGAAGCGUGAACGAGAAGCACAACCAACACGCCUUGAAUCCUACUACAGACAGCUGGAUGACUCGUCAAUCCUUUCAGCGGUGAGCGACGCGCCUUGUAUCUCUUCCUUCGACGCCUUCGCUAAUUAGACGUGACAACCUUCGUGACGACCCUCAUUUUGGGUGUAACUCUGUUCGUUGUGCAUUCCCUUGUCCACCAAUCAGAACAAGAGUUUGGUUUUUUCGGCUAUACGUGUCGCCAUUUGGUUGCCAAUUUCUGUAUGCGUGGGACGAGAUCCUAACUGUUUCUAACGUCCCUCCUUUUGUCCCAGUUUCAAUCGAUAUAGAAAAAACUGACGGCUGCGUUAAAUAUCGAUACAGAAAACUGCAGCGAAUAUAAAAGACGACCCAUUUCGACGUUGGAUUCACAACCCCCCAACUCGCCUGUCGAAAAUGAAGUUCUUUUCGAUUCUCUUCCUUUUGGCUGUCGUCU